rnacentral:rRNA from 1 species
CUCUGUGUUACGGGAUGAAUUGGAUGUUGCCGAUAAAGCAACGUUUUUGACGUUACCGUAGUAGAAAGCCCCAGCUAACUACGUGCCAGCAGCUGCGGUAAUACGUAGGGGGCAAGCGUUGUCCGGAAUCACUGGGCGUAAAGCGCGCGUAGGCGGUGGAGUAAGUCAGACGUGAAAGGGUUCGGCUCAACCGAGCCAUUGCGUUUGAUACUACCUCACUUGAGUCUAGAAGAGGAAAGUGGAAUGUAUGGUGUAGCGGUGGAAUGCUUAGAUAUCAUAUAGAACACCCGUGGCGAAGGCGGCUUUCUGGUCUAAGACUGACGCUCAUGCGCGAAAGUUUGGGGAGCAACCGGGAUUAGAUACCCCGCUAGUCCUUACUGUAAACGAUGGGUACUAAGUGUAGGGGGAUUCGAUCCCUCUGUGCUGUAGCUAACGCAUUAAGUACCCCGCCUGGGGAGUACGGCCGCAAGGUUAAAACUCAAGGUAAUUGACGGGGGGCCGCACAAGCCGUGGAGCAUGUCGCUUAAUUCGAAGCAACGCGAAGAACCUUAUCAAGGCUUG